UACAGAGGGUGCGAGCGUUGUCCGGAAUCACUGGGCGUAAAGGGCGCGUAGGUGGCGCGACAAGUCAGUGGUGAAAGUUCGACGCUCAACGUCGAAUCGGCCACUGAUACUGUUGGGCUUGAGCACUGUAGAGGCUAAUGGAAUUCCGGGUGUAGCGGUGGAAUGCGUAGAGAUCCGGAAGAACACCGGUGGCGAAGGCGGUUAGCUGGGCAGUUGCUGACACUGAGGCGCGACAGCGUGGGGAGCAACAGGAUAGAUCCCAGUACGU
rnacentral:rRNA from 1 species